UUGGGGAUUACACUCCCAACCCAAUGUGAACGUUACCAAACUGUUGCCUCGGCGGGGUCACGCCCCGGGUGCGUAAAAGCCCCGGAACCAGGCGCCCGCCGGAGGAACCAACCAAACUCUUUCUGUAGUCCCCUCGCGGACGUAUUUCUUACAGCUCUGAGCAAAAAUUCAAAAUGAAUCAAAACUUUCAACAACGGAUCUCUUGGUUCUGGCAUCGAUGAAGAACGCAGCGAAAUGCGAUAAGUAAUGUGAAUUGCAGAAUUCAGUGAAUCAUCGAAUCUUUGAACGCACAUUGCGCCCGCCAGUAUUCUGGCGGGCAUGCCUGUCCGAGCGUCAUUUCAACCCUCGAACCCCUCCGGGGGAUCGGCGUUGGGGAUCGGGACCCCUCACCGGGUGCCGGCCCUGAAAUACAGUGGCGGUCUCGCCGCAGCCUCUCCUGCGCAGUAGUUUGCACAACUCGCACCGGGAGCGCGGCGCGUCCACGUCCGUAAAACACCCAACUUCUGAAAUGUUGACCUCGGAUCAGGUAGGAAUACCCGCUGAACUUAAGCAUAUCAAAGG
rnacentral:misc_RNA from 1 species